CGACCCGGAUCACUGUCGGUUGUCAGGCUGCAGGAGUUUUCUCAGCGGAGUGGCUCAGAAUGAAAGCUGUCACUCCCGGUGACAGCAGCUGUCAUUCCCGGACGCCCGAGUCCCUCAUCUGGGGCUUCACACCAUUGGAGUCAACUGAACGCGGGUGCACUCCGGGAUAGGGUCGCCUCCGCCGAACAAUCGCAAAUCUCUCUUCUCCAACGCUGUCAAGCAUCUGGAGGUGGUUUCCCAGACCACCCUGGCAAUGGCGAACUCCACACGCAACCAAAACGCCACCACCAUGGCAACAAACACCCACAGCAGUGCGGCCAACACUACCGCCCCGGUUGGAAGGGGCGUCUCGCUGCUCGCAGGCACCGUCUCCUUCCUGAUCCCCGUCGUCACGGCAGCCUCUGUCCAUCAGCGCUAUUGUUAAAGGCUCGGACGCCACAGGGCCCCCCAACCCCCCCCUUACUCGGCAUCAACACUCCUCCUCAUCUUAUCAUCCCACCCACUCCAGCCUCACUCCUCUCCUCUUCACCGCACCGCACCGGGACCACAAGACCAACAUGGAUGGACUCUAAAAUCUUUUUUUUUUGCCCCCCCCUUCCAUAAAUUCAUUAUAAAAAAAUCUGUAAUUCAAGACGUUUCUUUUAAUAAAGGGGGUUUAACCGUCGACUGGAGAUCAUCACCAAACCCCUUCAGCCCCUUGCAUGGAAUCAGAAGGAAUGGCGGUUGGCCCAGCUUCCCUUUUGGCCUGCGUUUCCAUAGUUACGUCAUUGAAUUUUGAUCAGGGCUGCGGUUGUAAUAUCAAAUGUCCUGAUUGAAAUGCGGACCACUUGAGUGUACAGAGGUUUUAUUUGUGGCUUUAAUUAGACUCAAUAAUAUUUUUGUCUGUGAAGUUGACUUUGGCACACACAGUAGGAGUUUUCUUCAAGAAAGUUUGAGCCAGAUGACAAAUUUGAAUCAGGUUCUUUCAUAAUUUGCCUCUCUGGUCUUUUUUAUUAGAAUUGUCUAAGAAAUGUUUGUAGCAAAUAAGUUGCCACAAGACUUGUGUCAGUUUUGCCUUGUGACGUGUAAAGAGUUGCGGUCUUUUACAAUGAGGGUUUUAAUGACACCUUUCCCUCCUUCAACCAUGGGUUAGACCCAGGGAGUGGCUGUAUGUAUAUUAUAACCAUAUGGGAAGGGUUGGCGUUAGAUUUAUAUUCUACCCUUGUAGUUUAUAUUUUGUAAAAAUUAAAAAUGUUGUACUGGUUAAUAGUUUGGGUAUAAAAUAAUGGAAGAAAUUAAAAUGUACAAUAAAUUAUGAAAAAUGAAGACAAGUGUAAUAUUUUCUUUGAUUCACAAAAGCAGCACCUACACCAAUAUUUUAUCAACGCAACGGCGUCUUGUUCUCCAGUUCUGAAACUUUGCACGGAUCUCCCGCCCAUAAAACCAUGCUGAUGUUCUACAUAUAAAGGGUGUGGCGGUGUCACCAUUUAAUGGGCUGCCUUGGCAGUCUAGACGUGCAACCCGCUGAGCUGCAGGCCAGAGACGGACCCGGCGGUCCCUGAUGCCCCCACUGAUCUCCUCUGGAUUAGUGCCAGAGCGGCAUAAGGCAGAACUGUAGCCCCCGUGGUAUACUGGUGAUGUACAAAGUCCG
ensembl:lncRNA